rnacentral:sRNA from 1 species
AUUGCGAGACUGCUUGCAGGCAGGGCAAUGUGAUCAUUAGGGAAUCUAACAGAUAUGAGUAAGUAGGGCGAUAGCCCGGAAUACGAAUAUCUGUAGCGUUUCGAGAGCCUGCAGGGCGGAGAAAUGCGUAGGG